rnacentral:lncRNA from 1 species
UCCCACUCUUGCCGGCUCCCCUUCCUCUCCUUCCGAGAAUCUCUGUGCUGGCGUAGUCACAUGUUUAGGCUUUGAUGCCUUUAAUCCCACCCUCACCGCCCGAGAGGGAGGAGAAGAAUUUGCGGGAGAGAAGUGAGCAACAAGCGGAGCGGCAAGAUAGAGCGGAAAGGGGAGCGCGGCUGCAUGGACCGCCCGGCCCGCCGGGGGCGGAGAGCCGGCAGAAGGGGAGCGGAGGGGCCGCAUCAGCGGGGAGCGCGGCUCUGCCGCGGGCUGCGGGACGCCUCCCGGUGCGCGGGGCGAGGCUGCCGAGCAGGAAAGGUUUGGCGGCUGGCUCAGCGACAGUGCCAACAGUGCUGCUUGCAUCAAGAGGAGGCUCAAAAGUAUGCCGGUGGUCUAGAGAGGAGGAGACAUCUGAGACACACACACAUAUUACACUUGGUGUACACAUGCCCUUGGUGAAGUAA